rnacentral:rRNA from 1 species
AUGGCUCGCGUUUCGGCUGGCAUUGGUGCGCCGGAUGCGCGCCCGGAGGAGGAUUCCUGCAUCAUCCGCUCCUCGUUCAACCUCGACCGUGACAUGCUGGAGUGGGAGCAGACGACAGCCAUCGCCUGGGCCAUCAACGCGCCACGGCGCCUUGAGGCGCUUGACGUCGACCACGCCAUCCGGAAGCAGUUCCGCCUCAGCCACGCGGACGUCGCCGUUACUCCGUACCAUCCGGUGGAGUUCCUCGUCAAGUUCGAGCGCAAGGCUCACUGUGACGAGGCGCUCGCUGCUGGGUGGGUGCGCGCUGGCGGCGCCAUCGUCCACAUCCGGCCAUGGCGCCCGCUAGAGCGCGCCUUUAGCGCCGCCCUCAAUUUCCGGGUGUGGCUCUGCCUGGAGAACGUCCCCGACUACGCCUGGACUCCCUUCAUUGCCGAGCGCAUCAUCGGGCGCCGUUGCUCCCUCGACCGCCUUGAAGACCACUCCGCGCUUCGAACCAACUCCGAGACGCUCGACCUCUGGGCUUGGACUGCCGACCCCAACCUGAUCCCGAAGAUCAUCUGGCUCACGUUCACCACGCGCCCGUCCGGUGGCCUGCAAGUGUUCGUGAACGUCGCUAGGCCGUCAGGCUGCAAGGGCGGUGCCACUUUACGGGUGUUGGUGCACUUGGACUUGGUGGAAGACCACUCCAACGUGCCUCUAGAUUGCUACGUCUCUGACGGCCGCGCCGAGGCAUUUAGCCCUCCCUCUCUGCCCGUUGUCUGGCACAAGGGCUCCGUCGACGACGUCCCGCCCCCGCUCGGGGCUUCCCUCGCCCCGCUCGAUGUGCCUGGUGGCUCCAGGGCUGCUGCGCCGCGCCGACGUGACCGUGGCAAGGACGACCACCCCCGCCAGAUGCCAAGACUCCGCGACGACACCGAUGACUUCGACGACGGUUGGCACCGUGGCGCUGGCCGGGAUGGCCGCGGGCGUGCGAAUCGCUCCAACGACGCACCGCUGGAGCCGCGCCGGGAGCGAACCCGCUCCCCCCGACGCCGCGAUGGGGAAGCUGCGCGCCAUGGGAGGCGUCGGGCCGGGUCCCCGUGUGUCGGUGAGCUUCAGGGCGGGGCCCCGAUGCUGCCCCCUCGCCCUCUAGCCAGCUGCGCCCGCUGGCUGCCGUCGGGUCCACGGAGGUGCAGCGCCUCCCGCUCAUGGAGCACCUCCGCCUCCUUCGGGAGGAAGUGUCCGCUGCCAUCGAAGCUGCUCUCGCCCCCCUGCGCUCUGAGUUCGCCAUCCUGCGCCGGCGUAUCACGGGCUCCACUGUCAUGCGUGACCGUGGGCUUUCCCCCCUUGGCGCGUCGGAGGUUGCGGCCGGAGCGGCCUCGCCGCCGCUCGACCCCCUGCUGCCUCUGUCCAACUGCAUGGCCGGGCUUGCCCUCUCCCCUGUUGUGCGGCGCCUCGACGAACCGAUGA